GAUGAACGCUGGCGGCGUGCCUAAUACAUGCAAGUCGAGCGAACAGACGAGGAGCUUGCUCCUUCGACGUUAGCGGCGGACGGGUGAGUAACACGUAGGUAACCUACCUAUAAGACUGGGAUAACUUCGGGAAACCGGAGCUAAUACCGGAUAAUAUUUCGAACCGCAUGGUUCGAUAGUGAAAGAUGGCUUUGCUAUCACUUAUAGAUGGACCUGCGCCGUAUUAGCUAGUUGGUAAGGUAACGGCUUACCAAGGCAACGAUACGUAGCCGACCUGAGAGGGUGAUCGGCCACACUGGAACUGAGACACGGUCCAGACUCCUACGGGAGGCAGCAGUAGGGAAUCUUCCGCAAAGGGCGAAAGCCUGACGGAGCAACGCCGCGUGAGUGAUGAAGGUCUUCGGAUCGUAAAACUCUGUUAUUAGGGAAGAACAAACGUGUAAGUAACUGUGCACGUCUUGACGGUACCUAAUCAGAAAGACACGGCUAACUACGUG
rnacentral:rRNA from 1 species